UAUACAGUCAAUGGUUUGAAAGCAAGAUCAGUUAUUUGGCUGCUUUGAAGUAAUGUCAUUGCAAAAACACUGGAUGUCACUAUCAACAAAGCUGUCAGCUGUCAUAAACACAAACUAGGAAUUCAGACUU